UAGCGGCGAGCGAAGCGGGAAGAGCUCAAAUUUAUAAUCUGGCACCUUCGGUGUCCGAGUUGUAAUCUCUAGAAAUGUUUUCCGCGUUGGACCGCACACAAGUCUGUUGGAAUACAGCGGCAUAGUGGUGAGACCCCCGUAUAUGGUGCGGACGCCCAGCGCUUUGUGAUACAUUUUCGAAGAGUCGAGUUGUUUGGGAAUGCAGCUCAAAUUGGGUGGUAAAUUCCAUCUAAAGCUAAAUAUUGGCGAGAGACCGAUAGCGAACAAGUACCGUGAGGGAAAGAUGAAAAGCACUUUGGAAAGAGAGUUAACAGUACGUGAAAUUGUUGGAAGGGAAACGCUUGAAGUCAGACUUGCUUGCUGAGCAAUCGGUUUGCAGGCCAGCAUCAGUUUUCCGGGAUGGAUAAUGGUAGAGAGAAGGUAGCAGUUUCGGCUGUGUUAUAGCUCUCUGCUGGAUACAUCUUGGGGGACUGAGGAACGCAGUGUGCCUUUGGCGGGGGUUUCGACCUCUUCACACUUAGGAUGCUGGUGGAAUGGCUUUAAACGACCCGUCUUGAAACACGGACCAAGGAGUCUAACAUGCUUGCGAGUAUUUGGGUGUCAAACCCGGAUGCGUAAUGAAAGUGAAUGGAGGUGGGAACCGCAAGGUGCACCAUCGACCGAUCUGGAUUUUUAAUGAUGGAUUUGAGUAAGAGCACGUAUGUUGGGGACCCGAAAGAUGGUGAACUAUGCCUGAAUAGGGCGAAGCCAGAGGAAACUCUGGUGGAGGCUCGUAGCGGUUCUGACGUGCAAAUCGAUCGUCAAAUUUGGGUAUAGGGG
rnacentral:rRNA from 1 species